UGGUUUGCGUGGACCGAUAAUGAUGACAAAGCGGGUCAGCUGAUUGCUGUGUCACGGAGCUGGUUUUUCACGAGUGUGCCGAGACGCUGAGUUUUUUCCCCCUUCCUUCUCACAGACGCAGUGCGGCACAAGCAGACGACUGCAGACAGAGGAGGCAGAGGAGCGUACUGCUGCGACUCGCACACUUUUCUCCCAAAGUGCUCUGCUCCUCUCGAUUCUCCUUCGAAGCAGGCUAAUUUUCUCCUGGUGGAACGGCUGAGAACUGGGAUAGUGGAGCAAAACGACACUCGUAAACUCGGAAUUACGCUCCAUCUUGGAGGAGGAACAAAGAAUUUGGACUUUUUUUUGGGGACCUGUAAGGGAACGAAAGCUUCAUUCAGACAAAGAGAGGAUGCUGGAGCCGUAGAAGAACUUGUGCCGUCUCGCCCUUUUUUUGCGACUGGUCUAGCCGGGCCUGUGUGCAUGGGCCGGUCCUGCUUCUGGUUCUAGUUUGCUUCGUCUUCAUGUGGAGCUCAUCGAGAUGAACCCAAAAAGGCAGCCGAAUGAAGCUGCCACUGAGAGAGCGCAGAGCGCUCAGCCAGCCAGACAUGCUGACCUAAAUCAGUCUCCUUCAUGUCUUGGCUCGGCGACUGAGCGAGAACGGUGCAGCCAGAACGAGAACACGAGACAUAGUUAGAUUUACACACCAGACAUAAUAGCCUGCAAAGUGCCUAGGUAGAAAAUGCGCCCUCAGCUCUGAAGUUCUUCCCUGUAAUCCAGUCUCCUCCGUGUCCUCAUCUGCCCGUCUGUGGCUGCGCUGUUAUCCGUCUGCCGUAGGGAUCGGGAGAAGAGCGUGGGAGGGGAGGAGGAGGAGGAGGAGAUCACAAUGCGACGCCACUUUCUCUCCUGGUUUGCCGUCACUGCUUGGCUGCUCAUAGCUCCGGCAUUGCGUAGAAGUGAAUCUGCUCCUGUCCUCACAACAAAGGGCACAGAACGGCUCUGGUGAUGUAACGCAGGCACAUCAGGACAGCUACUCGGGGCAAAUAUACGGACUGAAAAUGUCAGCAUGUGAUGACUGUGAUCUUCAAGAAAUUUGGAUGAUGCAACAUCCUGUUGAGGAAAAUUCCAAAUAUUCCACAGGGGUGAAUGUGUUCAGGUAACAGUGUUGAGUGAAUAGUGUGAAGCUUUGUUUUUUUCCAUGAUGUGUAAUGGAAGGGUGUUUCAGGCAUGAGAUGUUAAAUUGAGUCACAUAUUAAAUGCACACUUUGUAAGAUUUUGAUUUAUUUUAAUGAUUACAUUAAAAUAUAGUGGAUAUUUAUAGUGAGUUGGUCAGUUGCUGUUUUAUGAAUGUUUUAAGUUAUUUAUUUAUUUAAAGGGCACUUUACCUGUGUUUAAAAUGUCUUUAACCUUUACUUUACAUAUUUGUAAAUGUAUUUUGUAACUGAUAACUGUAGUAAAAAUAAAUAUUUAGUUUUAUAUCAA